GACGAACGCUGGCGGCGUGCUUAACACAUGCAAGUCGAACGGUGAAGCGCCUUCCUUUUUGGUGGGUGUGGAUGAGUGGCGAACGGGUGAGUAACACGUGAGUAACCUGCCCCCUUCUUCUGGAUAACCGCAUGAAAGUGUGGCUAAUACGGGAUAUUCUGGGUCUGUCGCAUGAUGGGUCUGGGAAAGAUAUUGUUUCGGUGGGGGAUGGGCUCGCGGCCUAUCAGCUUGUUGGUGGGGUGAUGGCCUACCAAGGCGGUGACGGGUAGCCGGCCUGUGAGGGUGGACGGUCACACUGGGACUGAGACACGGCCCAGACUCCUACGGGAUGCAGCAGGGGGGAAUAUUGCACACUGGGCGCAAGCCUGAUGCAGCGACGCCGCGUGAGGGAUGGAGGCCUGCGGGUUGUGAACCUCUUUCGCCAGUGAAGCAGGCCUGCCUCGUUUGUGGGUGGGUUGAUGGUAGCUGGAUAAGAAGCGCCGGCUAACUACGUG
rnacentral:rRNA from 1 species